UACAGAGGUCCCAAGCGUUGUUCGGAUUCACUGGGCGUAAAGGGUGCGUAGGUGGUGAGGUAAGUCGGAUGUGAAAGCUCCGAGCUCAACUCGGAAAUGGCAUUGGAAACUACCUUGCUCGAGGGUUUGAGGGGGGACUGGAAUACUUGGUGUAGCAGUGAAAUGCGUAGAUAUCUGGAGGAACACCGGUGGCGAAGGCGGCAUCCUGGACCGAACACUGACACUGGAGGAGCGAAAGCCAGGGGAGCAAACGGG
rnacentral:rRNA from 1 species